AAGAUACUCAAACUCAAACACAACUAAAAUUACUGAGCAUAAUCAUAAACCCUAAUCAACGACAUCAAGCCCUAGUUUCUCCAGCCUCCAUCACCACCGUCACCACCACGAGAGUAACCACGGUCACCACCACCACCAUAACCACGGUCUCUGCCACCGCCAUAGCCACCGCCACCGCCACCGCCAUAUCCACCGCCGCCGCCAUAGCCUCCACCGCCACCGCUACGGUUGUAUCCCCCUCCACCACCGCGACCACCACCACCAUAUCCACCACCGCGACCACCACCAUAUCCACCACCUCCACCGCCUCCGCCGCCACCGCCACCACGGGACUGAGCUUCGUUAACAGUGAUGUUACGGCCGUCAAGGUUUUGGCCGUUCAUCCCUUCGAUGGCGUCUUUCAUGGACUGCUCCGAGGCGAAGGUCACAAAUCCAAAACCCCUGGAUCUUCCAGUCUCACGAUCGUUGAUAAUCUGAACAUAAAACACGAAAAACCAUCAGAUCUGAAACAAAAACAGCACGAAAACAAAAAACCAGAACCGAAUAGUAACCGAUCGAUCUUCGCCUUUGGUGAAAGGAAGAAGAUGAACGUACCUAUUGGCGUGAGAGUAAUAAAAGAAUCAUAUAGUAACACAAGUAUCAUAAGAUCAAGUAACGCAAACAGAUCAGAGAUCACAGAUCAGAAAGGGAUCGAGAAAAUUCCGAAUCCGAAUCGUGUGAGAUCAGAUGUGAUGCCUGCAACAAACAGACCUUC
rnacentral:lncRNA from 1 species